rnacentral:rRNA from 1 species
UACGUAGGGACCGAGCGUUGUCCGGAUUCAUUGGGCGUAAAGAGCUCGUAGGCGGCCACUCAAGUCGAAUGUGAAACCUCGAGGCUUAACCUCGAGCCUGCAUUCGAUACUGGGCGGCUAGAGUCUGGUAGGGGGAUCUGGAAUUCCUGGUGUAGCGGUGGAAUGCGCAGAUAUCAGGAGGAACACCGGUGGCGAAGGCGGGAUCCUGGGCCAGUACUGACGCUGAGGAGCGAAAGCCAGGGGAGCAAACGGG